GUCUACGGCCAUACCACCCAGAACGCGCCCUAUCUUGUCUGAUCUCAGAAGCUAAGCAGAGUCAGGCCUGGUUAGUACUUGGUUGGGAGAAAGUAGAUUAGCGGUUGCCU
rnacentral:rRNA from 1 species